rnacentral:rRNA from 1 species
UGGGGAAUUUUGCACAAUGGGCGCAAGCCUGAUGCAGCGACGCCGCGUGAGGGAUGAAGGCCUUCGGGUUGUAAACCUUUUUCGCUCAUGGUCAAGCCGCAGCUUUGGGUUGUGGUGAGGGUAGUGGGUAAAGAAGCGCCGGCUAACUACGUGCCAGCAGCCGCGGUAAUACGUAGGGCGCGAGCGUUGUCCGGAAUUAUUGGGCGUAAAGGGCUUGUAGGCGGUUGGCCGCGUCUGCCGUGAAAUCCUCUGGCUUAACUGGGGGCGUGCGGUGGGUACGGGUUGACUUGAGUGCGGGAGGGGAGACUGGAAUUCCUGGUGUAGCGGUGGAAUGCGCAGAUAUCAGGAGGAACACCGGGGGCGAAGGCGGGUCUCUGGGCCGUUACUGACGCUGAGGAGCGAAAGCGUGGGGAGCGAACAGG